CAUAAAAAAUCCACCACCUACCCAACUCCUACUUUUUGUAAAACAUGGCUUUCGUAAGUCACUUCCUUCUUUAGGGGAGGUUCUUAUUUUCGUAAAGCGUUGUAUUUUCUUUUUAUUAUUGGAGCGUAACCUACUCAUAAUUUAUCUGCAAAAGUUUUAAAUUUUUUAAAGCAUUGGUCCUUAGAGAAGCUAAAGACAAACUGGAAAAGUGUGGUGAAGAGCUAACAUGGAGAUCAGACUUUUAAAAAGCAUUUGAUGAAGGAAAGGGGCAAGAAAUCAUAAAGUUGUAGAAUGCUAUCCGAGAAAUGCAAGGAAAAUUGGAAGAGGCGCACAAUCAAAUUAUUCAUGAGAAAGAAGCAACAAAGUCGCUACUGACAAGCUCCGCGUAAUCAAAGAAGUGCCAGUUAUUGAUAAAAUGAAAGUGGAGUAGUUGGAAAACCGUAAUCAUGAACGGGAGAUGAAAUUAUAGAAAUGAAGAAGAUUGUCGAGUUGAAAGAAUCACAUGCUAAUACCUCAGAGGGACUUUAUGAGAUCAUUGAUACGUAGCUAAAAAGCCUUAAUAUUAUAUAUAUAGAGAGAGAGAGACCAAACCUCUGGGACUAAAAUGGCAAUCGGAGGUAGAAUCUAUUCAUCACGUCUUUGGUUCAUGUUA